rnacentral:lncRNA from 1 species
AUCGUGACUGUACUCUUGUGACUGCACGCUCAACAACAAACCAACAAACAUGAAAUUUUUCAGGGUACUCGGUAUGAUGGCCGCUCUGCUGCUCGCCGCACAAGUCGCGAGCGCUCAGGAGAAUGCAGCCUCUGGUGAAGUAGGCCUCCGUGGACCGGGAAAUGAAAAAAUCCCAGUAGACUCUAGCGUCUUUAAAGAAGAAGAUCUUGAUGUAGAACGUAGCGGACCAAGUCCACGCGGUCCGGGACACCAACAAUGUCCGGGACACAAUAAAUGCAAUUAGAAAUAGAGCAAUAAUGACUGAUAAUUUAGAACUUAUUUUGAGAUACAAAUAAAUUUAAUACUUAAUAUUA